AUAUGCAUAACUGAAGUAGAACUUGACUUUACAUUAGACUGCAGAUAAGUUCUAGAUUCCCAGCAAAGGAAGCACCAUGUGUGAUAUAGUACAUACGGGUCAUGAGCAUAUUCAGAGUACAAAAUCUGGAUUUGGUGCAUCAAAAGAUAACAGCGCAUACAAAAAGUUAACAAGCUGCAGAUGAAAAGGUUGUUGCUGCUUUUCAUUUGGCUGCUGGAACUGAAACCCGAUCAGUAGCCUUUCCACAGCGUUGGAUCUCCAUAGCUCGUAAUUGUUCGAUAGGAUUUUUCUGAUGCCAAGGUUCAAAUAUCAUCCCGCAUUUCUUCCCCAGUUCCGAUAUUUAAGCUGCUGUCAAAGAAUUCAGGAACAGGAUAUCUGCCUCCCUUAACGAGUCUUCAAUUAGCCCCAGUGAUUUGAUUUUUUUCGACCGUAAUCGGGCACUCCGCUUGGCUGGCAUAGUGACAUCCCUCUUCGCUUGGGAAAGCUUGUGGGGCUGAUCUAUGUUGGGAGGUUGCUGAUAUUGUUGGUCCUCUGCUCCUUN
rnacentral:lncRNA from 1 species